rnacentral:rRNA from 1 species
GACGAACGCUGGCGGCGUGCUUAACACAUGCAAGUCGAACGGAAAGGCCCUGCUUGCAGUGUACUCGAGUGGCGAACGGGUGAGUAACACGUGGGUGAUCUGCCCUGCACUUCGGGUUAAGCCUGGUAAACUGGGUCUAAUACCUGAUAGGAGCUAUAUUUAGUGUGAUGGUUGGAAAGUUUUUUCGGUGUAGGAUGAGCUGGCGGCCUAUCAGCUUGCUGGUGGGGUAAUGUCUUACCAAGGCGGCGACGGGUAGCCGGACUGAGUGGGUGGACGGCGACAUUGGGACUGAGAUGCGGCACAGGUAGCUAAGGGAGGCAGCAGUGGGGAAUAUUGCACAAGGGGCGCAAGCCUGAUGCAGCGACGCCGCGUGGGGGAUGACGGCCUUAGGGUUGUAAACUACUUUCGCUAGGGACGAAGCUUUUUGUGACGGUACCUAGAUAAGAAGCACCGGCUAACUACGUG